UCCCUAGUGGCUCUGUUAGUAAAGUAUCUGCCUGCAAUGCAGAAGACCCAGGUUCAAUCUCUGGGUCCGGAA
rnacentral:tRNA from 1 species